rnacentral:lncRNA from 1 species
UGGGUUCCGAGGGAGCACUUCCUGCAGGCUGGCGACAGCAGUGGGUUCCGAGGGAGCACUUCCUGCAGGCUGGUUUGCAUUCAUGCCAUCAUUGAAUUCUCUCCAGCCCAAAUGCACACAUUUUAUAGAAAGAGAGGCAGAGACAUAGAGAAAUGUGGUAUCGGGGAGAGACAAGUGAGAAGAGAGCUGGGAUCACUAAUCUCCUGCCUCUGAGCUCAUGCUCCCAACCAUAUGCAACCCACUAGCUCUCACUCAGGGCUGCCUGGAGCCACUGGAAGCAAGGGCGAUGGUACCUGAGCUUACCCAACCCCACUUUCCAGUUCCUGACAGGAAGUUUAGGGUGAAGCAAAGGUCCAAAGGUUUGCAGUUGAGCAGUCCUGAUCAGAUGUGGCCCCUUCUACCAGGGUCUCAUCUCCAGUCUCUCUUUCAUGGUCCUGGUAAGCUGUCAGCUGGGUGAAAUCUCUUCCCAGGAACAAGUCUUCCCUCUGGCUGGCACCAGCUUUUUCCUUUUUGCAUGUAAUUUCUUGGGAAGUUCCACUUUCUUGGGGACCAUGGUCUCAAUACUCUGAGAGCCACAGGGAGGGAUACAAUGUCUCCGUAGAAGAUGCUCAUCGCUGCCAAUGGCUACAAUAUAGUUCUAAACUGGGUGACAGGGUCACAAUUAGUUCUUUGCCUGUCCCAUUCACAGCAGAGUAGCACGGCCUCCUGAGACACUUUUCUUGCUUACCCUUGACUUUGAUCUGGGUGGGGCAAGGCAGGGCAGAGGGCAUGCCUUUGCCAGUGAAAUGUUGGCAGGGACUAGAGACAUGCUGGCAGAGUUGAUCUUUAUCUGCUAGCUUAUUGUCCUGAUGCAAAGGGCACACUUUGCGAACCCCAGAAGAAUGGGAUGUGGAGCAAGCCACUAGCCAGCCCCAGCUGGGUCUCAGAGAAUAGGUCUCACUCAGUUACAGAUGUCCAAGCUAGAAGUACUUUCUUUUUGUAUGCUGCGGACCAUCUGCCUUUGACUCUCUUUCCAUAGAAACAACCAUCCCUUUGACUUGUUUCUGCUUUCUGAGGACUCUUAUGAUGUCAUUCAGGGUGCCCUCAAACAUCCCUUGCUUCAUCCUCCAGACAUGUCACUACGGCUGGCCUGGCCUGUAAUAGCCGCUGCUUCCUCUCCCUCUUCCUGCGUAUCUCUUUCCUCUUCUUUGGAUCUCACUUUGUAUCUUCUGGUAGCCUAGAACUCGAUAUCUAGAGCAGGCUAGCUUUGAACUCACAGAGAUCCACCAGCCACUGCCUCUUGAGUGCUGGGAUCACAGGCAUGCGCCACCAUCCCUAGCUUGUAAUUGCUUCUUUUACCUACCUCAUGCCUGCAAAAAAAAGGCCACAGGUUGUGGUUCGUUUUCUUUUCUGUUUUCUGAGUUUUUCUUUUCUUGUUUUCUUUGGCUUAUGGUGAGGAACAAGGUCUUCUUUAGCACAGGCUAUCCCAGAGCUCCAUAGGUAGCCAAUGAUGAGCUCGACCUUCCAUCCUCCUGUGGCUACCUUCCAAAUGCUGGAGCUUACAGGCAUGCACCACUGCUCCUCCUGGCUUGUAUCCCAUAAUACCUGACAUGUAGCAAGUGUUUAAAGGUAAGUGGGCCGUGUUAAGAGUAAACGCUCAAUGGUGAAAGUCACGAGGAUCUUAAAACAUUGGGACACCUGGCCUGCUUGCCCUGGGUACACUGAGACAGCACCUAGCACAGCUGAUAACAGUCCCUUCCUCUGCAGGACUCACAUGGUGACUCUCCAUGGAUGUGGGCAUCUCCCUUAGUGGCUUGCAGGAUUACCUUGUGGUGGCUCUGUGCACUUCCUGUCCCCCUUGCAGUCUGUGGUUCCUCUUGUCCUAUCACAGUCGUUACCUUUCUUGUUCACUUCCAGCUUCCACCAGCCUUGGAGCAGUGUGUCUUGGGCAGUCUCUCUCAGGUCCCUGGGGUACCAGGAUGCUAUUGUCAGCAGUUCUCUUCCUGUAGCAUGACUUUGCUCCAGGCCUGCAGGCUCCUGAGGACUUAUAUAACUCACACACAGAGCUCUGAGGAGAAUCAGAAGAUGCUCUGGUGGACACCUUUCACUCCUCCCUUCUAAUGAAUGUCGUGGUGAAU